rnacentral:rRNA from 1 species
GAUGAACGCUGGCGGCGUGCCUAAUACAUGCAAGUCGAGCGAACGGACGAGAAGCUUGCUUCUCUGAUGUUAGCGGCGGACGGGUGAGCAACACGUGGAUAACCUACCUAUAAGACUGGGAUAACUUCGGGAAACCGGAGCUAAUACCGGAUAAUAUUUUGAACCGCAUGGUUCAAAAGUGAAAGACGGUCUUGCUGUCACUUAUAGAUGGAUCCGCGCUGCAUUAGCUAGUUGGUAAGGUAACGGCUUACCAAGGCAACGAUGCAUAGCCGACCUGAGAGGGUGAUCGGCCACACUGGAACUGAGACACGGUCCAGACUCCUACGGGAGGCAGCAGUAGGGAAUCUUCCGCAAUGGGCGAAAGCCUGACGGAGCAACGCCGCGUGAGUGAUGAAGGUCUUCGGAUCGUAAAACUCUGUUAUUAGGGAAGAACAUAUGUGUAAGUAACUGUGCACAUCUUGACGGUACCUAAUCAGAAAGCCACGGCUAACUACGU